rnacentral:rRNA from 1 species
GGAUGAACGCUAGCUACAGGCUUAACACAUGCAAGUCGAGGGGCAGCAUGGUCUUAGCUUGCUAAGGCCGAUGGCGACCGGCGCACGGGUGAGUAACACGUAUCCAACCUGCCGUCUACUCUUGGACAGCCUUCUGAAAGGAAGAUUAAUACAAGAUGGCAUCAUGAGUCCGCAUGUUCACAUGAUUAAAGGUAUUCCGGUAGACGAUGGGGAUGCGUUCCAUUAGAUAGUAGGCGGGGUAACGGCCCACCUAGUCUUCGAUGGAUAGGGGUUCUGAGAGGAAGGUCCCCCACAUUGGAACUGAGACACGGUCCAAACUCCUACGGGAGGCAGCAGUGAGGAAUAUUGGUCAAUGGGCGAGAGCCUGAACCAGCCAAGUAGCGUGAAGGAUGACUGCCCUAUGGGUUGUAAACUUCUUUUAUAAAGGAAUAAAGUCGGGUAUGGAUACCCGUUUGCAUGUACUUUAUGAAUAAGGAUCGGCUAACUCCGUGCCAGCAGCCGCGGUAAUACGGAGGAUCCGAGCGUUAUCCGGAUUUAUUGGGUUUAAAGGGAGCGUAGAUGGAUGUUUAAGUCAGUUGUGAAAGUUUGCGGCUCAGCCGUAAAAUUGCAGUUGAUACUGGAUAUCUUGAGUGCAGUUGAAGCACGCGGAAUUCGUGGUGUAGCGGUGAAAUGCUUAGAUAUCACGAAGAACUCCGAUUGCGAAGGCAGCCUGCUAAGCUGCAACUGACAUUGAGGCUCGAAAGUGUGGGUAUCAAACAGGAUUAGAUACCCUGGUAGUCCACACGGUAAACGAUGAAUACUCGCUGUUUGCGAUAUACAGCAAGCGGCCAAGCGAAAGCGUUAAGUAUUCCACCUGGGGAGUACGCCGGCAACGGUGAAACUCAAAGGAAUUGACGGGGGCCCGCACAAGCGGAGGAACAUGUGGUUUAAUUCGAUGAUACGCGAGGAACCUUACCCGGGCUUAAAUUGCAGAUGAAUUACGGUGAAAGCCGUAAGCCGCAAGGCAUCUGUGAAGGUGCUGCAUGGUUGUCGUCAGCUCGUGCCGUGAGGUGUCGGCUUAAGUGCCAUAACGAGCGCAACCCUUGUUGUCAGUUACUAACAGGUUCUGCUGAGGACUCUGACAAGACUGCCAUCGUAAGAUGUGAGGAAGGUGGGGAUGACGUCAAAUCAGCACGGCCCUUACGUCCGGGGCUACACACGUGUUACAAUGGGGGGUACAGAGGGCCGCUACCACGCGAGUGGAUGCCAAUCCCCAAAACCUCUCUCAGUUCGGACUGGAGUCUGCAACCCGACUCCACGAAGCUGGAUUCGCUAGUAAUCGCGCAUCAGCCACGGCGCGGUGAAUACGUUCCCGGGCCUUGUACACACCGCCCGUCAAGCCAUGGGAGCCGGGGGUACCUGAAGUGCGUAACCGCGAGGAGCGCCCUAGGGUA